CAAGGCAACAUAUGCACAUACCCACUGCAGACUGUGAACCACAGAGACUAACAAAGGGGUUCUGCCCUGACAAACACGGAGAGCUACCUGCACAGAAAAUACUUGAACGACUAAAAGCAAAUCAGAGCAUUCAGUUUUAAAAACAAAACUGUCAAGUGUGCCACGUUAGGCUACCGAAUAUGUCAGCCCUCACACACGAGUGAUUUUUCAGCGCUGCCAAUAGGAUCCAGCACGCUCACCCAUUUUGGAUUCUACAAAGUUACGGUAGAGACGUGAUGCAGCCAAUCUCCAGGCUGGGACCUGAAGCGCACAGAACUCAAGAAGAGCCAAGGGAGCAAAUUAACAGCAGUGUGUUCUACAUUGACCAUCUUCCUAUCAUUUCAGAAUGUAUUUUUAAGUGUGUAGGAUGACUCUAACAGUAUUCAAAGUACGUACUUCUCUAAAAUGCCUUGAAAAACCA